GCCCGAGUGGCGGAAUGGUAGACGCGACGGAUUCAAAAUCCGUUGCCGCGAGGCGUGUCGGUUCGAGUCCGACCUCGGGUA
rnacentral:tRNA from 1 species